AUGCAAUGGACUUUCCAAUCAACUUUAUCCACACACCACACUCCCCAGCCCACGUCAUACACACACUACACUCUCCAGUCCUACUCCUGCAUGCACCACACUUUGCAGUCCUCUUCCUUUACACACCAUGCCCCCCAAAGCUCCCAAUCCACACACCAACUCCCCAGAUCUUCCCAUCAUCCAGGAACCACACUAUCCAAUCCUCACCCUCUGCACAAAACUCUCCAGCGUCCUCCCCACCCAUGCACCAAAUUUCUCAGUCCUCCCCAUUCACACAACAGAUUCCUCAGUUCUCUCUGUCUAAGCAAUAGGUUCCACAGUCAACCCUAUCUACACACCAUAUUCCUCAGUUCCCACAUCCACAGACAACACUCCCCAGCCCUCCCCAUUGAUGCAUCACAUACCUCGGUCCUCCCCAACUUUACACACACUCCUUGGUCCUCCCCAUUCAUGUACCACACUCCCCAGUCUUCCCCAUUAAUGCACCACUCUCCUCCCCAUCCUUACACCACACUCCUCAGUCCUCUCCGUCCUUACACCAUGCUCCUUAGUCCUCCCCAACCUUAUACCACACUCCUCAGUCCUCCCCAUCUAUAUACCACACUCCUCAGUCAUCCCAUCCUUAUACCACACUUCUCAGUUCUUCCCAUUCAUGUACCACACACCUCAGUUCUCUCCAUUCAUGCUCCACACUCUCCAGUCCUCCUCAUUCAUGCACCACACUCCCCAGUCCUCCUCACUUAUGCACCAUGCUCUCUUGUCCUUUCCAUUCAUGCACCAUGCACCUCAUUCCUCUUCAUUCAUGCACCACACUCUUCAGUCCUCCUCAUUCAUGCACCACACUCCCUAGUCCUUCCCAUUCAUCCACCACACUCCCCGGUUCUUCCCAUUUAUGCACCACACUCUGGUCCUCCCCAUUCAUGCACUAUGCACCUCAGUCCUCCCCAUUCAUGCACUACACUCUCUAGUCCUCACCGUUCGUGCACUACACUCCCUAGUCCUCACCAUUCAUGCACCACACUCCCCAGUUCUCCUCAUUUAUGCACCAUACUCCCUGAUCCUCCCCAUUCAUGCAUCACACUCUUCAGCCCUCCCCAUUCAUUCACCACACUCCCCACUCUUCCCCAUUCAUGCACCACACUCCCUAGUCCUCACCAUUCAUGCACCACACUCCCUAGUCCUCACUGUUCAUUCAGCAUACUCCCUAGUCCUAACCAUUCAGGCACCAUCCUUCUCAGUCCUCAUUUAUGCACCAUACUUCCUGAGCCUCCCCAUUCAUGCACCACACUCUCUUGUCCUCCCCAUUCAUGCACCACACUCCUCAGUCCUCCCCGUUCAUGCACCACACUCCCCCGUCUUUCCUAUCCAUAUACCACACUUUCCAGUUUUUCCCAUUCACAUACAAUAUUCACCAGUCCUCUCUAUCCACACAAUAUAGAUCCACGCACCACACUAUAUCCUCCUUUCCACCUCUUCAUAAUCACAUAG
rnacentral:lncRNA from 1 species